GCCUAUGUGGCUCAGUCAGUUGAGCAUUCGACUUCAACUCAAGUCAUGAUCUCACGAUUUACAAGUUCGAGUCUUGCUUUGGGUU
rnacentral:tRNA from 1 species